rnacentral:piRNA from 1 species
UNGGAUUCUCAGAAUAUGAUCAAGGCCUA